rnacentral:rRNA from 1 species
UACGGAGGAUGCAAGCGUUAUCCGGAAUGAUUGGGCGUAAAGCGUCCGCAGGUGGCUGUGUAAGUCUGCUGUCAAAGAGCAAAGCUCAACUUUGUAAAGGCAGUGGAAACUACACGGCUAGAGUGCGUUCGGGGCAGAGGGAAUUCCUGGUGUAGCGGUGAAAUGCGUAGAGAUCAGGAAGAACACCGGUGGCGAAGGCGGCAUCCUGGACCAACACUGACGCUGAGGAGCGAAAGCCAGGGGAGCAAACGGG